AAACAAUUCAAUACAGCACACUGAAUAGGCUUUAAGGAAGUCUAAGUUUUGAUCAUCUUAGUUGAUAAUUGUUGUUGUACUUGAUAACACUCUGGUUGCAUGUGAUCGAAGUUCAAAUGGAAAUAGCUUAAGAAACAGACAGUAAUUUAUUUCUAUUUAGAAUAAAAUAAAAGUCUAAUAGACAUUUCAGGUAUCGUUGGUUCUAUGGACUGAAAUGAGUUCAAAAUGACUCUCUUACUUUACUUAUUAGUUCUUUCUUUAUAUUGACUUCUUUCUUAUUCAGGCCCUCCCUACACAGAAAAAAAGAUGGCAAUCAGCAGCUCAAACUCAGAUCCUACUAUGAUGGCAAUGGCAUAAAGAUUGAGCUUUGCUCCUAAUCACUUUUAAGAAGGUCUAAGUAAGACUUCAAGUGACUUAGCUGUGUCCCAUAUGCAGCCUUCAGUCAUUUGCUGUAACUGGCUGAACAGAAUACUCUGACUAGGCCUGACUCACGAGUCUCCCCAGGAAGCACAGAGAGCAGGUAUCCACUUCCCUGCAACUGCAUAGCCUGAAUGGCACUGCUUCCACCGAAUCUCAACCCUGUGAACUAAAUUGCAUGGUGUCCACUUCACCCCAGCCACAAAGACUGAAUACCUUUAUGUCCACCUUACUCCAACCAUAUGGACGGAACAGGAAUCUUAUGAGGUGAACACAUGUUAAGUACUGUCAGUAGAGGAUGCAGGAGAGACAUUGAGAGAGGAUGAAGGAUUCUUCUAAUUCUGUACACCUGCCAAAGUCUCACCUCAGCUGCCUGCCUAGAAAGGCUGCUUCCCAUGACCCUCUCUACCUGAAGACCACAUGUUCUAAUUCUCAUGCAAAAGCCCCAUCCUCACUCCCUCUUUAUACAUUCACUUAUGAACUGUGGCUCUCUGCCACCUCAUUUCCUGCUUGCCCAGCGACCAUGGACCAGCUCUGAUCUGAGUGUCCUAGGAAACUUCUCUGGAGGUUGCAACUACACCUUCUCCAACAAGACCUGAACCCCACCUUGGAAUCCCCACUUCAACCUUGUCCUUCAUUGCAUCAUUUCCCUGAGCCCUAGGCUAACCAGCAGAGUUCUCUUUACAUCCUUAUAUUUACUUCCCUGCCAUAUUUAAUAAUUCUUUACAUUAAAAAGUUCCUGUUCAAAUUACUAUGAUUUCUUUUUCCUGAUUGAAUUUAGAUGGAUAUAUCCUCUUCAUAAUAAAUUCCAUUUCUCUUGGACUAAUUUGAAUGAAUGUCUGUUUCUUUUGAUCACGAAAACUGGCUACAAAUAGGCAGGACACAACAACUGAGUUUCCUCUGUUUGAGAUUCUUGCCCUUGUCCUUUGACUCUCACAGAAUUUUAUGAAAUUGACCUCAGUGCCUACAACUGACUGCACAUGACAAAAUGCAGAACACUUAGAUUUGAUGAACACAAGGCUUGACAUAUUUGUCAAUAGUACCAGGAAUAGUUUUGCAUACUAUAAUAUUUAACAGCCACAGGAGAA
rnacentral:lncRNA from 1 species